UGGUCGGCAAGAUGAAGCGGCUGCACCGCAGGUACGACGACAUGAUGAACGGGAUCAUCAGGGAGCGGAAGGCCGCCGAGGAAGGCAAGGACCUGCUCAGCGUGCUGCUGGCCAGGACGCGGGAACAGCAAUCGAUCGCGGACGGCGAGGACAGCAGGAUCACCGAGACUGAGAUCAAAGCACUCCUCCUCGUAAGUUAUUCUACCCUCUUGCUUUCCCGUGGCCCGUGCACAACAACUGCUCUGAUAUGAUGUGGCCGAAUGGACACGGCUACCGGCAGUCCGGCACUGACGGGGACAUGUCUCAUACUUUUGUUGCAAAAAAUUGAUCCCGACUUGUUGGAGUCUUGAGUAUAUUCAACUCUUGUGUUUCACAUGGAUGCAUGCACUUUCUGUGGACAUGUCGUGAUAACAACAGAACCUCUUCACGGCGGGGACGGACACGACGUCCAGCACGGUGGAGUGGGCGCUGGCCGAGCUGAUCCGGCACCCGGACGUGCUGAAGAAGGCCCAGGAGGAGCUGGACGCCGUCGUCGGCCGCAACCGCCUCGUCUCCGAGUUGGACCUCCCGCGCCUCACGUACCUGACGGCGGUGAUCAAGGAGACGUUCCGGAUGCACCCGUCCACGCCGCUGUCGCUGCCCCGCAUCGCCGCCGAGGAGUGCGAGGUGGACGGGUUCCGCAUCCCCGCCGGCACCACGCUGCUGGUGAACGUGUGGGCGAUCGCCCGCGACCCGGAGGCGUGGCCCGAGCCGCUCCAGUUCCGCCCCGACCGCUUCCUCCCGGGAGGCUCGCACGCGGGCGUCGACGUCAAAGGGAGCGACUUCGAGCUCAUCCCGUUCGGCGCCGGCCGCAGGAUCUGCGCAGGGCUUAGCUGGGGCCUGCGCAUGGUCACGCUCAUGACGGCCACGCUGGUGCACGCCCUGGACUGGGACCUCGCCGACGGCAUGACCGCGGACAAGCUAGACAUGGAGGAGGCAUACGGGCUCACCCUGCAGCGCGCCGUGCCGUUGAAGGUCCGCCCAGCACCCAGACUGCUGCCGUCUGCAUACGCAGCGGAGUAGGGGAAAAAAAAACGGAUUCUCGCUGGCUAUCCCGUAUCCAUGUCCGUCCGUACGCAUCGAAAUCCCGUUCGCUUUAGCUUAUUUAGCGUAUCUGCCGGUCACUUUUAUCUCCUACAACUAAAAAGACUAAAACGUGGACAAUCUUUUGGUGCGACAAUCCUCCGUCGCGGUUUCGUCCUGCCAUCCUGCGACCCGCAUCCCGCACGCCUAUCUCUUCCGAACAAAAAAAGGAAACAAAAUCGCUUUGCUCCCAAUUCCUCCUCGCCGCCCCCUCCGGUCCUCCCAAAUCCUCCUCCAUGCAGAGCUCCCCGUCGCAGAUCCUCCUCGGCCGCGCAAAUCCUCCUCGACGCAGUCUUUCUGGGAUCGACGUGCUUACCUUCCAUUCCUUCACGAAUUCACCGGCGACGAAGGCUGCGAUGGCCUGGACUUCGACCUGCCAGUGGAUUUCUCCAUCGACGACUUCCUCCUCCGCUCCCCCGACCGCGGGGACGACGGCGACGACUCCGGCGAGGGCUCCGCCGCCGGAUCCGGCCCCACCGCGUCCUCCUCGGCCUCCCCUGCCACCUCCGGCGCAAACUCCGCCGUGGCCAAUGCCGGCGUCCACGAGGUGAAGCAUGAGGACUCGGACGAGGGGAGGAGCGGCGCCGCCCCGAACUGGAGCCUCAAGCGGAAGCAGGCGAGUCCCAGAGGAGCGAUCUCGGACGUUACAGUGUUCUCCAAGGUAUUUUAGAUCUUACAACUCUUAUCAAAAGAUGGGCUAACAAAUUUCCCAAAAAAAGUUAGCUAGGGUAACAAUCAGUUCGCACUCCAUGUGUUGGUUUAUGCAGGUGGAUUUUUUCAUGGUGUUCACAGUCUCACAUUUGGCGUUGAUCUAAUGAAAAUUCGGUUGAUGGGCAUACUUCAGGUACCCAAUUGUUUUUAUUGUUCUUUCAGAUCUUUCAGAACUAAUAAUUGACACAUUCAGUACUGGAAAAGGUGUAAGUCAUCUAGAACGGCAUAUGAUGGUUCUAUGUUGCAGAGGAUUGCAAUAGCCUAUCUUCUGGCUGCAAUAUGUGAAAUCUGGCUCAAGGGAGAUGAUGAUGUAGAUUCUGGAUAUGGUUUGCUAAGGAGAUACCGCUACCAAUUGUGAGUUCAGAUCAAAAUUAUCCUCACGAGCGAUCAGUAGUUACGCUGAGUUAUGCAUUUACUGUUCAAGAACUAUAGAAUUUGAAUAAUUGACCUGGUACUGGUAUCUCAUAUUUAUGGCUUAUGGUUCGUUGUUGUCGUGCUAGAUUUGUAGGACUGGUCCUCUCUAUAGCCUAUACUAUUCUUUUGUACGGUAUAUACGUUCCAGACUGGGAGUACAAGAUAUCAGGCCCUGGUUCCACAGAGAAAUCAUUCUCUGUAAGUGCAAAGUGCCUCUGCAUUUUCUUUAUCUUGUUAGAAGUUCACUAUACAAGAAGAAGCGCUGAAGUUCAUGCUACAUUUGAAUGUGUCAGGUGAAAUGUGGAGUAAGAGGAGACACCGGACUAGCUUGCAAUGCAGUUGGUUGACCGUACAAUUCUAGGGAUCGAUCACCUCUACAGACAGCCAGUUUAUGCGCGCACAAAGGUUCGAUAUGAAGUGUAAAGUCUCAGUUUUCUGCUCCCUUGUCACAAAACUCAAUAAAAAAUUUUGGCUAACAUGCAGGAAUGUAGUAUAAAUUAUCCAGAGAAUGGACCUCUUCCACCCGUGCUCCAUCAUGGUGCCAGGCACCAUUUGAUCCUGAAGGCCUCCUCAGGUCAGUGCUUCACAAAAUCACAGCUCGUCAGUGACCAUAAGCUUCUCUUGCAAUGCAGGUUCCUCCAACUUAGUGGUAGUUCUUAAUGUCCUUCAUUCAUGUUUNNNNNNNNNNNNNNNNNNNNNNNNNNNNNNNNNNNNNNNNNNNNNNNNNNNNNNNNNNNNNNNNNNNNNNNNNNNNNNNNNNNNNNNNNNNNNNNNNNNNCUAACCAACUAAGCUAGAGGCCUUUUUAGACACAUAUAUGAAGUAUUAAAUAUAGAUUAUUUAAGAAACUAAGCAUAAAGCUAGAGGAUACUUUGUGAAAUGAUUUUUUAAAGUCUAAUUGGUCCAUAAUUAAAUACUAAUUGCUAUAAAUUUUAGUUCUUAUCACAUCAAAUGUUCUUAUCCGUCCCUGAAAGCUGCAAUUUCUAGAGUUUUUCUAAGUCAAUUUUUUACAACUUUGACCAAAUUUAUAGAAAAAAAUGCUAAGAUUUAUAGUACCAAAUUAAUACCAUUAAAUUUAUUAUAGAAUAUAUUUUUGAAAGAUACUUAUUUUAUGUUAUAGAUAUUGAUACUCUUUUCUAUAAAGUUGGUCAAAGUUAGAAAAGUUUGACUCACAUGGAUUCUAGGAGUUGAAGCUUUUGGGGACGGACCAGUAAAGUCCUCCGAGCUCCCCAAUUGCGGCGUGGGUAGGUAGGGACGGCGCCUCAGGGAGAUUGUUUGCUGAAGCCUGAAGCACGCCAAGUGAAGUGGCAUGUGUAUAUAUAGAUGAACCACUCCCACGCUAACCGCACGCUCAACGCUCAGUCCAACGCCAAAGCGCCUCCGUGAACCGAGCAACUCAAACCAUGGACGUGCCGCUGCCGCUGCUGCUGGGCUCCCUGGCCGUGUCCGUCGUCGUAUGGUGCCUCCUGCUCCGGCGCGGUGGGGACGGGAAGGGGAAGGGGAAGCGGCCUAUGCCGCCCGGUCCAAGGGGCUGGCCGGUGCUGGGCAACCUGCCGCAGUUGGGCUCUCAUCCGCACCACACCAUGUGCGCGCUUGCGAAAAAGUACGGCCCGCUGUUCCGGCUCCGGUUCGGCAGCGCCGAGGUGGUGGUGGCCGCGUCGGCGCGUGUGGCGGCGCAGUUCCUGCGCACCCACGACGCCAACUUCAGCAACCGCCCUCCAAACUCCGGAGCCGAGCACGUGGCGUACAACUACCAGGACAUGGCAUUCGCGCCCUACGGCUCCCGGUGGCGCGCGCUGCGGAAGCUGUGCGCGCUCCACCUCUUCUCCGCCAAGGCCCUGGACGACCUCCGCAGCAUCAGGGAGGGCGAGGUGGCGCUCCUGGUCAGAGAGCUCUCCCGGCACCAGCACCAGCACGCCGGCGUGCCGCUCGGCCAGGUGGCCAACGUCUGCGCGACCAACACGCUGGCCCGGGCCACGGUGGGGCGGCGCGUGUUCGCCGUGGACGGAGGGGAGGAAGCCAGGGAGUUCAAGGACAUGGUGGUGGAGCUGAUGCAGCUCGCCGGGGUCUUCAACGUCGGCGACUUCGUGCCAGCGCUGGCGCGCCUCGACCUGCAGGGCGUGGUCGGCAAGAUGAAGCGGCUGCACCGCAGGUACGACGACAUGAUGAACGGGAUCAUCAGGGAGCGGAAGGCCGCCGAGGAAGGCAAGGACCUGCUCAGCGUGCUGCUGGCCAGGACGCGGGAACAGCAAUCGAUCGCGGACGGCGAGGACAGCAGGAUCACCGAGACUGAGAUCAAAGCACUCCUCCUCGUAAGUUAUUCUACCCUCUUGCUUUCCCGUGGCCCGUGCACAACAACUGCUCUGAUAUGAUGUGGCCGAAUGGACACGGCUACCGGCAGUCCGGCACUGACGGGGACAUGUCUCAUACUUUUGUUGCAAAAAAUUGAUCCCGACUUGUUGGAGUCUUGAGUAUAUUCAACUCUUGUGUUUCACAUGGAUGCAUGCACUUUCUGUGGACAUGUCGUGAUAACAACAGAACCUCUUCACGGCGGGGACGGACACGACGUCCAGCACGGUGGAGUGGGCGCUGGCCGAGCUGAUCCGGCACCCGGACGUGCUGAAGAAGGCCCAG
rnacentral:lncRNA from 1 species